CAUCUUCGUGCUCGGCUUCGGCAACCUCGCCGCGCUCGACUUCCAGGCGAGGUGCAUGGCGGCCAAGACCCCGCUUCAGGCUCGCAUCGGCUGCAUCCUCGGCGGCUUGCUCACCUUCUUCGUCGGCAUCCCCUUCGCGUACCUCGGCGCCAUCACCAGGUACUACUACGGCCCCGACUCCAAGUACGCCGAGUUCGAGGCGGACACCUGCUCCACGAUCCUGGACCUGCCCACGUGCGCGGCGUGGAAACCCGACCCCCAGGCUUUCAUCAAGCUGCUCACCACCGAGCCCCCUGCGUUCCUC
rnacentral:lncRNA from 1 species